GGCCCAAUGGCACAGCGGCUAGUGCGCCCACCGUCGAUGUGCCUGUGUUGAAAUUCCGUGGGAGACCCUCGUUCGAGUCGAGGUUGGGUCA